GUGAGGAAUAUUGGUCAAUGGGCGGGAGCCUGAACCAGCCAAGUCGCGUGAAGGAAGAAGGAUCUAUGGUUCGUAAACUUCUUUUGCAGGGGAAUAAAGUGCAGGACGUGUCCUGUUUUGUAUGUACUCUGAGAAUAAGGAUCGGCUAACUCCGUGCCAGCAGCCGCGGUAAUACGGAGGAUCCGAGCGUUAUCCGGAUUUAUUGGGUUUAAAGGGUGCGUAGGUGGUUUGGUAAGUCAGCGGUGAAAGUUUGCAGCUUAACUGUAAAAAUGCCGUUGAGACUGUCGGAGUUGAGUGUAGAUGAGGUAGGCGGAAUGCGUGGUGUAGCGGUGAAAUGCAUAGAUAUCACGCAGAACUCCGAUUGCGAAGGCAGCUUACUAAGCUACAACUGACACUGAAGCACGAAAGCGUGGGGAUCAAACAGGAUUAGAAACCCCUGUAGUCC
rnacentral:rRNA from 1 species